CAGCAGCCGCGGUAAUACGUAGGGUGCGAGCGUUAAUCGGAAUUACUGGGCGUAAAGCGUGCGCAGGCGGUUCGUUAAGACAGAUGUGAAAUCCCCGGGCUUAACCUGGGAACUGCAGUCGAUACUGGCAGACUAGAGAACGGUAGAGGGAGGCGGAACUCCAGGUGUAGCGGUGAAAUGCGUAGAUAUCUGGAAGAACACCGAUGGCGAAGGCAACCUCCUGGGCCUGUUCUGACGCUGAGGCACGAAAGCGUGGGUAGCAAACAGGAUUAGAUACCCGAGUAGUCCCUGUCUCUUAUAC
rnacentral:rRNA from 1 species